rnacentral:rRNA from 1 species
UACACUCCUACGGGAGGCAGCAGUGGGGAAUUUUGGACAAUGGGCGAAAGCCUGAUCCAGCAAUGCCGCGUGAGUGAAGAAGGCCUUCGGGUUGUAAAGCUCUUUUGUCAGGGAAGAAACGGUGAAAGCUAAUAUCUUUUGCUAAUGACGGUACCUGAAGAAUAAGCACCGGCUAACUACGUGCCAGCAGCCGCGGUAAUACGUAGGGUGCAAGCGUUAAUCGGAAUUACUGGGCGUAAAGCGUGCGCAGGCGGUUUUGUAAGUCUGAUGUGAAAUCCCCGGGCUCAACCUGGGAAUUGCAUUGGAGACUGCAAGGCUAGAAUCUGGCAGAGGGGGGUAGAAUUCCACGUGUAGCAGUGAAAUGCGUAGAUAUGUGGAGGAACACCGAUGGCGAAGGCAGCCCCCUGGGUCAAGAUUGACGCUCAUGCACGAAAGCGUGGGGAGCAAACAGGAUUAGAAACCCGUGUAGUCCCAUGAU